CUUUGCACUGCCUCUUGGUUUCCUGUUCCCAGUGCAAAAACGGUUUGCUUUUAGCAAGUUAAACCUGUUGGUUCCCUGUAUUUACCCCCUGCCUUGGAUCCUUCAGCAUUUUGCUGUGCCUUUUCAAUCUGCAUGGGUCUGAGAUCCUAAACUUGGAGAGAUUACAGAGUGAACUCACUCUAACCCUCUAACCGAUCUGAGGAUGAUACUCAGCUGCUAGUACUCAUGCCAUUCAACAAGAGGCAGCACUGGAUUGAUCAGUGCCUCAAAUUUCACAGAUCUUUGGUUCUGAUAAUUUUCUUGUGCUGUUGUCUAGUUAAAAGUGCGAAACAUUAGUUUGUUGACCCAGAUUGCAACCCAGUAUUUACAUGAGGGAAGAAGACACUCCCACAGCAAAUUGCACAGAUGUGCAACUUCCUCACACAACUAAUGAUACGAACAUCAGCUGGCUUCCUCCCCUCAGUAAACGGACACAAGAACCUGUUGUUUGCAAGAACAAGGAAUUAAUCAUUAUUGACCAAGCAUUCAUUAUGGCAGCUAUCAAGAACAAGUGACACCCACACAUCUCCUUCACUUACUGGCGAUGAUAAUAAAGGAGAUAAACAACUGGAGCUCAUGCAGUUAGACUUAAUCUUUGUAUGUCAUCGUCACCAAGCAAAGCCACAGCAAUAGGAAGGCAGAGCUGUUCUCUGCUGCUUGUUUCUAACUGACAUUUCUUCACCAAGUUGCUCAUGUAACCUGUGGAUUCUUUGAACUUAAAUUUGCGCCUGCUGUCUUUCACAGUGCAUGGGUACUACCAUGCAGGGCUGAGCUGCAGCACUACAUCCUCCGCCUAUACCCCGGUUGUUAUUUUGCCUCUGCCUUUGUGGUCUGAAGUUGGAUUGCAGAACUACAACAGAAACUCCUUAAUAAAAAUUAAAAAAAAAAAUAGUAACAAGAAAGGAAUACUCCGAUUUUAAAACCUUAUAGUACAGGUUAAAUGUAGAACAUGUAAGUAAGCAAUUCUUUACUUCAGAAAGGAGAAAAAGGCAGAAAUAAGGGUAUUUUUAUAAUCUUUUCUGGUUAAGUAUAUAUGCAUAGUUAUUUUGACUUAAAUCACAGGAAAUAACCGCAGAACCUUCAUCCUUCCAAGGGCUGCUUUUACUGAAGGAAAUUCACUGGAGCUACAGUCCAAACUAAUGCAUUUUUCUUACUGCUGGAGAGAAGCCCUGGAGUUGCUUAACUUGACUUUUCCUGCAGUCAGCCCUUCAUCCAUCCUGCCUUUCCAGCCUGCUGUGGUUGCUUGGCCGUUGCCCUUGGAAUAUAAUUUUCUGCCUUCAUUUCAAGAGUUUCCUGGGACUCAACAGUGCACCCAAGUCCACACACAGGACCUAACCUGGCUUUCAUCAUCAAUGCAGCUAGUUUCUCAUUGAUGCCUAUGCAGUAAAAAGUACUCUUUGAGGCAAGGGCUAGGGUGUUUUUAAUACUAUUUCUAGUAUAUGGCCAGGGAGAGGCAGGAGCCUGCGCUGUGCAGUGCAUCCUGCAGCUGGUUUGUUCAUUUCCAUUCCCUGAGGGGCUGUUCUAGAGUUUCACUGAAGUGGUUUCAGAGUGGUUUCUCCUUUAACCCCUUUCACUUCUCGCCUCCUUAGGGGUGGAUUGCUCCAUCACGGGGCUGGUCUUGAAAGCAGUGUCAACAUUGUGUGUCUGCAUCAGGCAAAGAGGCUAUGCCCUUGCUGUCCAAUUCUGUAUCUUCAUAGUCUCACACUUUCUUGUUAAGAUAAAACAUUGGCAUUACUCUAGCAUUCUGCUAAUGAGUGAAAAAGCUACACAAGAUAAUGCUCCCAAAGAUGACAUUCCACCCUGGACUUCAGCCUCUGUCCCUGUGCAUCAGGAGCCAAUGACCUAUGCAAACAGAGAAAAAAUAUCCUUUCUCUAGCCAGUUUUGAUUUGGCUGGGGAAAGCUGAGAAGCCCAGGAAGAAACAAAAGCAGCUUACUUCGUCAUCUUCAUGAGAAAAAAAUAAACAGCUCUCAUCUUGACCACUGGUGUUUGAAGAUUAAAGUAGCCCAAGGGCUGUCACAGGCAGCAAGCAUAGCAGGAAAAUUAGUUCAUUCUGACUCACAACAGAGUGAUCUAAUUUAAUGGGGCACUGACAAGGCUGUCGGGCAUUAAUUUAGCUAUUAUCUAAGUUAGCCUGAUUGAUGGUUGUGUCCUGCUAGAGUCCUCCAUGCAAGGGGCUUGAGAUGUCACUCCAACUCUGUACCUGCAGUGGUGCCAGCGGAGCGCCUGCUCCGACGGUACCUGGGGCCUCUUGCUGCAAGGGAGCGGAGCAGCAUCUGUCAGCAGCGUAUGCUCAGAGGGGCAGGCAAAGUCCCUGCAGACAGGGAAAAAAUGCAAUUAUAAUUAAAGAGUCACUCCGGUCACACAAGAGGGCAGAAGAGAGGCUGGAUAGGAAAGCUGCCUUCUGGCGUUUCCUGCCUUUGAUUUCUUAAUUUUGCAACGUGAUCUCUUUUCUUUUAAGGUACUUUAGUAUGUAAUUUCUUAAGCUUCUUUAUUUUAGAGCAAAAGGAUUUUGUAAAAAGACUAUUUGAUCCUCCUACCAGAUUGAAACCACUAUGUGAAUUUCCACAGAACUGUAGUGUUACAAAUUGCUUGUUUGUGUCUUUGUUUUUGCUGGUUAGGGAGUAAUCUUUCCUGACUGAAAAACUGGAGUUGUUCCAGCCCAUGAAAACAUUUCAACCUGAUGCAGAAUAGUUCCCUUGAAGGAAUAAAAAAAAACCAAACCAA